UAUGCGUAGAAAGCAUCGAUGGUCACGACCUUACUUGAACAGGAUCUGUUCUAUAGGUUCGUACCUCUGUAUCCUUGAUUUCUAAGGAGACAGGUCCCAAACCCUGGUUGAUGAAGCAUGGCCGUGCGAUCUGGGUGUGAUUAACGGCUAGUAUUGUCUUCGGACUAUCCGAGCUGUAGAGGAUCGCUAUCUGGUCUGGUCUUGACCUAGCCAGAGUGGUCGCACGGUUGUCUGACAGCAUCAAGCACAAGGAAGUUAUGAAGCAGUAUCGUUUGAGGCCUAAUGGUGGAAUAAUGGCAUCUCUCAACUUGUUUGCUACUAAAUUCGACGAGGUUGUCUCUGUGAUUGAGGAACGUGCAGACUGCAGACAAGCUUGAUUAUGUUCUUGUGGAUACUCCUUGGCCAGAUAGAGAUGUGCUACUGGAGGUUGAUGAGUACUUUCAGAAUGAUGAUGAGCUGUUUCUAUACAUAAAAGUAUAAUCAAAACCAUAUCUUUCAUACUUUCUCAAGCUGGUUUUGUCCGUGUCCUUUGCCUUAUUUCCCCCGUCGUGUAGUUAAACCAUGGAACUGAAUCUCUUCGUGAGACAUUAUCUAUUUGAUCUAAUGACUGUUUCAUUAACUAGAAUUUUCGAAGAUUUUGUACACAACUUGCGUUCAUAAUAUAUGCACAAAGGCAGAGACUUCAGAGCUAUUAUCACAGGUUCUGAUUCAUAUUAGAUAUGAUGACGUCAGU